GCCCCCGUUGUCUAAUGGUUAUGACGUCAGACUUCUACGCAUUGUCGCCCAUCUGGAGGCUGCGGGUUCGAGUCCCGCCGGGGGUU